AUGGGAACGCGAAGAACCUUACCUACUCUUGACAUCCAGAGAACUUUCCAGAGAUGGAUUGGUGCCUUCGGGAACUCUGAGACAGGUGCUGCAUGGCUGUCGUCAGCUCGUGUUGUGAAAUGUUGGGUUAAAGUCCCGCAACGAGCGCAACCCGUUAUCCUUUGUUGCCAGCGGUUCGGCCGGGAACUCAAAGGAGACUGCCAGUGAUAAACUGGAGGAAGGUGGGGAUGACGUCAAGUCAUCAUGGCCCUUACGAGUAGGGCUACACACGUGCUACAAUGGCGCAUACAAAGAGAAGCGACCUCGCGAGAGCAAGCGGACCUCAUAAAGUGCGUCGUAGUCCGGAUUAGAGUCUGCAACUCGACUCCAUGAAGUCGGAAUCGCUAGUAAUCGUAGAUCAGAAUGCUACGGUGAAUACGUUCCCCGGGUCUUGUACACACCG
rnacentral:rRNA from 1 species